GCUUCGUUCCGAAAGGAGCGCUAAUACCGCAUACGUCCUACGGGAGAAAGUGGGGGAUCUUCGGAAAGC
rnacentral:rRNA from 1 species